GUAGCUCGGUAGAAGAGCAUCUGCUUUGUAUGCAGAAGGUCCCAGAUUCAAUCCCUGGACUCUCCA